rnacentral:ncRNA from 1 species
GGAGCUUUGGAGAAUCCGGUUCAAUCCGGUGCCGAAGGUGAAAGCGCAAAGCGCGAAUCUCUCAGGCAAAAGGACAGAGUU